rnacentral:lncRNA from 1 species
CAUUAACACACACACACACACACACACACACACACACACACACACACCAGGAAAGUACACAACAUUGGAAAAUUCAGGACAGAUCUUGAAAACCACAGGAUCUGUGAAUCUAAACUUGUGUGAUGCUUUUCUUCCAUUCAGGAAAGUUCCCCACGUUCCUCACAUAUCAUUGAAUGGUGUAACCACGCCAACCACAAGUUUAACCAGCUUCGCUUGUACUUUUUAAUUGACUUCAACCCCAAACAUUUUCACUAUGUAGAUAAAAUUGAACUUCUCUAAAAUGUUGUAAUCAAAUAGCAUUCUUCUUCACUAUCAUGGGAGCCAGUUUCAUUUAUCUCUCCUUAGACUCAAGACAUUUUUCUUUUCCUUGUCUUAUGAACAAUAGAAUUAUGAACUAAGCUAUGCAUUCUCUUCUUCACCCUGUCUCUCAGUUCUCCCAUAUGUACUUGUUUCUCUUCUUUUGACCUAAUCUUGAUAAAAUUUUGGAAAUACCAAGUCCUCUCCAUUUACUCCUCUUCUUAAAAUUUAUUUAUUUAUUUAUUUAUUUAUUUAUCCUCCAACUUCUAAAGCAUCUAUCAUGUUUAUUCUUUGAGUUAACAUAUCUUCUGAGCAAGUUAGAUGUACACAAGGUUACUAUAUAUGCUCCAGGUGGCCAACAGUCUGAAGAAAACAAGCAACCAAAAUUAUACAUGGAAAAUUACAGUGAAUUAAUUAGGAAAUAACACCCUCAUUAAAGACAAUAUCACAUUGAAAUUACAGUCUACAAUUAAUGCAAUAUGGUAUUUUAUAAUAUAUGAAAUAUAAUAGAAAACUAGGUAUGUAUUUUCUAAAAGAAAGAAAUUUG